UUUUAGUGGCGAACGGGUGAGUAACACGUAAGCAACCUACCCUAAAGACGAGGAUAACCAUUGGAAACAGUGGCUAAGACUGGAUAGGAAGAAAUAAGGCAUCUUUUUUCUUUUAAAAGACCUAGUGAUAGGUAUACUUUAGGAGGGGCUUGCGCCAUAUUAGUUAGUUGGUAGGGUAAUGGCCUACCAAGACGAUGAUGUGUAGCUGGACUGAGAGGUUGAACAGCCACAUUGGGACUGAGACACGGCCCAAACUCCUACGGGAGGCAGCAGUAGGGAAUUUUCGGCAAUGGAGGAAACUCUGACCGAGCAACGCCGCGUGAACGACGAAUUACUUUGGUAUGUAAAGUUCUUUUAUCAAGGAAGAAAAGCAAGUGGUGAACCAUUUGUUUGCCGGUACUUGAUGAAUAAGCCCCGGCUAAUUAUGUGCCAGCAGCCGCGGUAAGACAUAAGGGGCAAGUGUUAUCCGGAAUUAUUGGGCGUAAAGGGUGCGUAGGCGGUCUAGUAAGUCAGUGGUGUAAUGGCAACGCUCAACGUUGUCCGGCUAUUGAAACUGCUAAACUUGAGUUAGAUAGAGGCGAGUGGAAUUCCAUGUGUAGCGGUAAAAUGCGUAAAUAUAUGGAGGAACACCAGAGGCGUAGGCGGCUCGCUGGGUCUUAACUGACGCUGAGGCACGAAAGCGUGGGGAGCAAACAGGAUUAGAUACCCUGGUAGUCCACGCCGUAAACGAUGAGUACUAAGUGUCGGGUUAAACCGGUACUGAAGUUAACACAUUAAGUACUCCGCCUGAGUAGUACGUACGCAAGUAUGAAACUUAAAGGAAUUGACGGGACUCCGCACAAGCGGUGGAUCAUGUUGUUUAAUUCGAAGAUACCCGAAAAACCUUACCAGGUCUUGACAUGUUUUUGCGAAACGGUAGUAAUAUCGUGGAGGUUAUCAGAAACACAGGUGGUGCAUGGUUGUCGUCAGCUCGUGUCGUGAGAUGUUAGGUUAAGUCCUAAAACGAGCGAAACCCUUAUCGUUAGUUGCCAGCACGUUAUGGUGGGGACUUUAACGAGACUGCCAGUGAUAAAUUGGAGGAAGGUGAGGAUCACGUCAAAUCAGCAUGCCCCUUAUGACCUGGGCUACAAACGUGAUACAAUGGCUGUUACAAAGGGUAGCUGAAACGCAAGUUCUUGGCCAAUCCCCAAAAACAGUCUCAGUCCGGAUUGAAGUCUGCAACUCGACUUCAUGAAGUUGGAAUCGCUAGUAAUCGCGAAUCAGCAUGUCGCGGUGAAUACGUUCUCGGGGUUUGUACACACCGCCCGUCAAACCACGAAAGUUGGCAAUACCCCAAAACGGUAGCCUAACUCGUUUAUCGAGAGGGCGCUGUCUAAGGUAGGGUCGAUGAUUGGGGUUAAGUCGUAACAAGGUAUCCCUACCGGAAGGUGGGGAUGGAUCACCUCCUUUCU
rnacentral:rRNA from 1 species